rnacentral:rRNA from 1 species
UGAGUAGCCUGCCCUUCACUCUGGGAUAACUCCGGGAAACCGGGGCUAAUACUGGAUAUGACUCGAACAGGCAUCUGUUUCGGGUGGAAAGAUUUAUUGGUGGAGGAUGGACUCGCGGCCUAUCAGCUUAUUGGUGAGGUAAUGGCUCACCAAGGCGACGACGGGUAGCCGGCCUGAGAGGGCGAUCGGCCACACUGGGACUGAGACACGGCCCAGACUCCUACGGGA